ACCAAGAGUUGCCUCAUGAAGCUAAGCAGGGUUGGGCCUGGUUACUACUUGGAUGGGAGAUCCCCUGGGAAGCCCAGGUGCUGUAGGUG
rnacentral:rRNA from 1 species